rnacentral:rRNA from 1 species
UUCGGAUUGUAGUCUGCAACCCGACUACAUGAAGCUGGAAUCGCUAGUAAUCGCGAAUCAGAAUGUCGCGGUGAAUACGUUCCCGGGUCUUGUACACACCGCCCGUCACACCAUGGGAGAUGGAUAUGCCCGAAGUCAGUGACCUAACCGAAAGGGAGGAGCUGCCGAAGGUGGAGCCAUUAACUGGGGUGAAGUCGUAACAAGGUACC